CGUGCCCUUCAGUACGGAAUAGCUUCUGGAAACGGAAGGUAAUACCGUAUACGCCCUCCGGGGGAAAGAUUUAUCGCUGAAGGAUCGGCCCGCGUUAGAUUAGCUUGUUGGUGAGGUAAUGGCUCACCAAGGCGACGAUCUAUAGCUGGUCUGAGAGGAUGAUCAGCCACACUGGGACUGAGACACGGCCCAGACUCCUACGGGAGGCAGCAGUGGGGAAUCUUGCACAAUGGGCGAAAGCCUGAUGCAGCCAUGCCGCGUGAAUGAUGAAGGCCCUAGGGUUGUAAAAUUCUUUCAUCAGGGACGAUAAUGACGGUACCUGAAGAAGAAGCCCCGGCUAACUUCGUGCCAGCAGCCGCGGUAAUACGAAGGGGGCUAGCGUUGUUCGGAAUUACUGGGCGUAAAGCGCGCGUAGGCGGACUAUUAAGUCAGAUGUGAAAUCCCGGGGCUCAACCUCGGAACUGCAUUUGAAACUGGUAGUCUAGAGGCCAGGAGAGGUUAGUGGAAUGCCGAGUGUAGAGGUGAAAUUCGUAGAUAUUCGGUGGAACACCAGUGGCGAAGGCGACUGACUGGACUGGUACUGACGCUGAGGUGCGAAAGUGUGGGGAGCAAACAGGAUUAGAUACCCUGGUAGUCCACACCGUAAACGAUGAGUGCUAGUUGUCGGCAGGCAUGCCUGUCGGUGACGUAGUUAACGCAUUAAGCACUCCGCCUGGGGAGUACGGCCGCAAGGUUAAAACUCAAAGAAAUUGUCGGGGGCCCGCACAAGCGGUUGAGCAUGUGGUUUAAUUCGAAGCAACGCGCAGAACCCUACCUACCCUUGACAUGCCCGGUUCGGUCGCCAGAGAUGGCU
rnacentral:rRNA from 1 species